rnacentral:tRNA from 1 species
UGGCUCAGAUGGUAAAGCAUCUACCUGCAAUGCAGGAGAUCCAGGUUCGAUCCCUGG